rnacentral:rRNA from 1 species
ACUCAAAUGAAUUGACGGGGACCCGCACAAGCGGUGGAUGAUGUGGAUUAAUUCGAUGCAACGCGAAAAACCUUACCUACGCUUGACAUGCUAGGAACCUCGCAGAGAUGUGAGGGUGCUCGAAAGAGAGCCUAGACACAGGUGCUGCAUGGCUGUCGUCAGCUCGUGUCGUGAGAUGUUGGGUUAAGUCCCGCAACGAGCGCAACCCUUGUCCUUAGUUGCUACGAAAGGGCACUCUAAGGAGACUGCCGGUGACAAACCGGAGGAAGGUGGGGAUGACGUCAAGUCCUCAUGGCCCUUAUGCGUAGGGCUUCACACGUCAUACAAUGGUCGGUACAGAGGGUCGCCAACCCGCGAGGGGGAGCCAAUCCCAGAAAACCGAUCGUAGUCCGGAUUGCACUCUGCAACUCGAGUGCAUGAAGUCGGAAUCGCUAGUAAUCGCGGAUCAGCAUGUCGCGGUGAAUACGUUCCCGGGUCUUGUACACACCGCCCGU